ensembl:snRNA U6 U6 spliceosomal RNA
GUGCUUGCGUCGGCAGCACAUAUACUAAAAUUGAAAAACUAAAGAGAAGAUAAGCAUGACCCCUGCCCAAGGAUAACCCAAAAAUUCAUGAAGUGUUUCAUAUUUCU